GCGGCUGUGGUCUAGUGGCAUGAUUCGAGCUUCCCAAGCUCGCGAUUCGGGUUCGAUUCCCGACAGCCGCA
rnacentral:tRNA from 4 species